GACAGGCAAAACCUAUAAUAGAAUUAACCUUCGACAAAUUAAUAUAAAUUAUCGGUAAACUUCUAGCAUAUAAGUACUUACAACAUUAUAGUAUAAUAUAAGUAUAAUAUGAAUAGAACCGCCUCUGGAACAACGGCGAUGAAUUUAUGAGUUAAACAAUUUUUUUCCCUAUACAAAUAAAACUUAACAUUUUUUUAGAUAGUGAGCGUAGCAAAAAAUAUAUUGGUCUUAUUAUAGGAUGUGUGUGUGUGUGUGUGUUUAAUAUUUUUCACCAAAAAUUCCCAUUCGAUCUUCAAGUGUAGAUUAUUUUCCAAAAGCUAUAAUUUUGUUUGGUAGUAAUACUAAGGAAAUCAUCUUUUUAUUUUUAUUAAUAAUUAGAAAAAACGGGGAAAUUGACAAGAGGUUCAUCAUAAAUUGUACUUGUAGUGUUUAAAAAAUUUACUCGAUCAUAAUGUUUUAGGUGGGUAACUGAGAAGGUAGGAUACAUAAAGUUAUUACACCUAUUACACCUAAGUUAUUAACCAACGAUAAACUAUUGCUAACGAAAAACAAUUCGGAGGGAGAUUAUACAUAAUUUGAAACACCAUAAUAUUUAUGGUUCUCGCAAAAAUUUAAUUUUAAACUUUAUAAAAAAAAUUAUAUAUAUAUAUAUAUAUAUAAUACCCGAUUUUAGAUUCUGCCUGGAGCGAAGAAGCUUAUGAUUUUACAAAGAUGUUAUUUUUUUUUAUCUUUUAACAGCUUUUCUACCAAAAGACUUGUUCGGAUUUCAAAGUGUAGCACAUUUUCUGAAACGCAAUUAGUGUGAGGAGGUACUUUAAAGAGGUAAUUUUUCGAUUUUCUCAGAAGUUUUCUUACCAAAAUUGAGAAACCGGGAAAAACGUAGACAAAGUAAGAAAAUCGGUACAACAUUUAACAAAUAUUAUUAAAGAAAACACAUAAAGCCUGUUUAAUUAUUUUACAAUAAAAUAACAUAUAUAUUGUAGACAAAGCAUCACUGUCAACUGAACUUCAUUCAGAAUCGUUUUUUCGUAAGCAAUAGUUUAUCGUUGCUUACAGGUAUACAUUCAAUUAUCUAUAACAGCGGCUGCACCUGCCCCCAGAUAGGACGGCAAUCGGUCACUGAUAAUAUCUUUUUGGUCAGAGAAAGCUCGAAAUGCUCGGAAAGAACUCGGAUUUAUAUAUUUUGUUUGAUAAUAUUUGUUUAAUGUUGUCUCAGUUUUCCUACGUUUUUUUCGGUUUACCCAUGUUUUAUCCCAGUUUUUAAAAUUUAAUGCGAAAACUCUUAGAAAUAUUGAAAAAUUACCUCUUUAAGGUACCUCCCUAGUAAAAUUUCCUUUUAGAAACAUUGCUAUUAUUAUAAAUUAGAGUAAGAUUGGUAGCAUGGAAAAAUUGUCGUAAAUAUUUGUCGUUUUACCUAUAAUUUUCUUUCGGGUUUUCCCAAUUAUUUCAAAAACCCUCGGAAAAUAAAAAAAUUACUCCCCAACGCACCAACGAGAGAAAAUUAUUUUCAGAAGAGGUGAUGUAGUUUAUAUUUCGCAUCAAGUUUUCUGGUAGAAAAGUUGUUCACAUACAGGGAAAAAAAAUCAUAGUAAAAUCAAUAAAUCCCUCGCUACGCUCCGAAUCUAAAAACACAUCGUAUUAAAACGUGUAAAAUGGUAAUGAAUACAUACGCGUGGGAAGAAAGAGGAG